AGCAGUAGGGAAUCUUCCACAAUGGGCGCAAGCCUGAUGGAGCAACACCGCGUGAGUGAAGAAGGGUUUCGGCUCGUAAAGCUCUGUUGUUGGAGAAGAACGUGCGUGAGAGUAACUGUUCAUGCAGUGACGGUAUCCAACCAGAAAGUCACGGCUAACUACGUGCCAGCAGCCGCGGUAAUACGUAGGUGGCAAGCGUUAUCCGGAUUUAUUGGGCGUAAAGCGAGCGCAGGCGGUUGCUUAGGUCUGAUGUGAAAGCCUUCGGCUUAACCGAAGAAGUGCAUCGGAAACCGGGCGACUUGAGUGCAGAAGAGGACAGUGGAACUCCAUGUGUAGCGGUGGAAUGCGUAGAUAUAUGGAAGAACACCAGUGGCGAAGGCGGCUGUCUGGUCUGCAACUGACGCUGAGGCUCGAAAGCAUGGGUAGCGAACAGGAUUAGAUACCCUGGUAGUCCAUGCCGUAA
rnacentral:rRNA from 1 species